GAUGAACGCUAGCGGCAGGCUUAACACAUGCAAGUCGAGGGGCAGCAUAAAUAGUAGCAAUACUAUUGGUGGCGACCGGCGGACGGGUGCGUAACGCGUAUACAACCUUCCCUAAACAGGGGGAUAAUCUGGAGAAAUUCGGUCUAAUACCCCAUAACAUCAGAGCAGGCAUCUGUUUUGGUUAAAAUUUCCGGAGGUUUAGGAUGGGUAUGCGUAGCAUUAGCUAGUUGGUGAGGUAACGGCUCACCAAGGCGACGAUGCUUAGGGGGACUGAGAGGUUAACCCCCCACACUGGUACUGAGACACGGACCAGACUCCUACGGGAGGCAGCAGUGGGGAGUUUUGGACAAUGGGCGAAAGCCUGAUCCAGCCAUUCCGCGUGCAGGAUGAAGGCCCUCGGGUUGUAAACUGCUUUUGUACAGAACGAAAAGGUUUCUACUAAUACUAGGAGCUCAUGACGGUACUGUAAGAAUAAGCACCGGCUAACUACGUGCCAGCCGCCGCGGUAC
rnacentral:rRNA from 1 species